UCCACUCUGCCUGCCAAAAAAAAAAAAAAAAAAAACAAAACAAAAACAAAAAAACAGUAUAUUGAAACAUUAUUCUAGAUCAUGUACAGAUAAAGCUGGAGAACAAUUAUUGUCCAAGUUAGAGUUAGUAGCAAGGUAAUUUAGGGUUAAAGUUCCAAGCAACAGUUUUUUUUUUCCCCCCAUGUUACAGGAGAAAGCGGGGGAAAAGAGUAAGGUCAGAGGCUAACCGGCAUCAGGCAUAAUCUAAAAGAACCAUUUUUUAUAAAUAUGAAGCAUUAUGUUUUCCUUCCAGUACUGUCAUAAUUGCUCAAAUGGUUUUGCUGUUUUAUAUUCAACCUCAGUUAUGUUUGAAAAAGCAUGAUUUGUUCCUCUUCAAAGAUUUUUGAAGGUUUUCAGGAUGGAUUUUAAAUAUGUUGACUUUUAUGUUCUUUUCUUCAACAACUUUAAAAGUACACUGAGGAUCAGCACUCACAGUCCCCAUGCCAAAGGAAGCAUUUGGACCUGGUGCUGUCGCUGUCUCAGGAAACUACACAGAUUCUGCAGCUCCGUCUCCUCUCUUCCUCCUGCCACCCCUCGCUUCCUCUCCGCAAGCUAAACCUCACGCAGACUUGGCACCGCCCUUCACGAUCAAGCCUGGCCUGGCUGAAAUGUCAACCUGGGAGCAGACGUGUCCUAUCAAAUCACAGGGCACUCACUGCGCUACGAGGGUUCUUCACAAAGCUCAUGAGAUGCAUGUAAUGAAGAAACUAUACAUGGAUUGCAGUAAAUUUUUUGCACUAAAAUAAACUUGUAUUUUCAUUCCAUUUCCUGCGAACUUCUUGGAAGCACCCUGGUAUAAUACGUCUUUGCUAGAGUGCCAUCUUGUUCGCACUUUAAAAGAAGGUAUGAGUAGGAUAAAUUCAGUAACAUGAAAAACCUGUCCACACAAGGCAGGGGAGAAAAGCCUCGGGGGCUGUAGACUUUUGGUAUGUUUCUCCUCACUAAGCUCUCCAUGAACUCAACACGUCUCCUCGCUCAGUUUGGGACCCCGUAGUUUAUGCCUCCAACUGCCAGGCUGCUGCCAGCGUGGCACACGUGGAAACCUACACUGAGAAAGGGCUUCCCCGUCCACCUCUGGGCAGCCUCAUUAGAACCCAAGCGAGAGAAAAGAAGAAACGUGCGCUCUUACCAUUG